GACGAACGCUGGCGGCGUGCCUAAUACAUGCAAGUCGAGCGCAGGAAACUGACGGAACUCUUCGGAGGGAAGGCAGUGGAAUGAGCGGCGGACGGGUGAGUAACACGUAAGGAACCUGCCUCAAGGAUUGGGAUAACUCCGAGAAAUCGGAGCUAAUACCGGAUAGUUCAACGGACCGCAUGGUCCGCUGAUGAAAGGCGCUCCGGCGUCACCUUGAGAUGGCCUUGCGGUGCAUUAGCUAGUUGGUGGGGUAACGGCCCACCAAGGCGACGAUGCAUAGCCGACCGGAGAGGGUGAUCGGCCACACUGGGACUGAGACACGGCCCAGACUCCUACGGGAGGCAGCAGGAGGGAAUCUUCCACAAUGGACGAAAGUCUGAUGGAGCAACGCCGCGUGAGUGAUGAAGGUUUUCGGAUCGUAAAACUCUGUUGUAGGGGAAGAACACGUACGAGAGGAAAUGCUCGUACCUUGACGGUACCUUACGAGAAAGCCACGGCUAACUACGUGCCAGCCGCCGCGGUAACAC
rnacentral:rRNA from 1 species